rnacentral:tRNA from 1 species
GGCUCCAUAGUGUAGUGGUUAGCACGUCUGCUUUACACGCAGAAGGUCCUAUGUUCGUGCCCCAAAUGGAGCCA